GAUGAAGAACGCAGCGAAAUGCGAUAAGUAAUGUGAAUUGCAGAAUUCAGUGAAUCAUCGAAUCUUUGAACGCACCUUGCACCCUUUGGCAUUCUGAAGGGUAUGCUCGUUUGAGUGUCAUUGUACUCUCACACUCCCGAUCUUUGCAUUGGGAGCAGUGGACUUGGGUUUGCUGCUUCACCGUCGCUUACCUCAAAUAGGUUAGUGCAACUCUUGGUUGGACAUAGUACGGCGUGAUAAGUGUUCUUCGCCGGUGCCUCGCAAAGAGGGUGGCCGAUCGGGAUGUUGUGCUCCAAACCGUCUUCGGACAAUCUCUGACGACUUGACCUCAUAUCGAGUAAGACUACCCGCUGAACUUAAGCAUAUCAAUAAGCGGAGGA
rnacentral:misc_RNA from 1 species